GUGGGGAAUCUUAGACAAUGGGGGAAACCCUGAUCUAGCCAUGCCGCGUGAGCGAUGAAGGCCUUAGGGUUGUAAAGCUCUUUCAGAGGGGAAGAUAAUGACGGUACCCUCAGAAGAAGCCCCGGCUAACUCCGUGCCAGCAGCCGCGGUAAUACGGAGGGGGCUAGCGUUGUUCGGAAUUACUGGGCGUAAAGCGCACGUAGGCGGACCAGAAAGUCAGGGGUGAAAUCCCGGGGCUCAACCCCGGAACUGCCUUUGAAACUCCUGGUCUUGAGGUCGAUAGAGGUGGGUGGAAUUCCGAGUGUAGAGGUGAAAUUCGUAGAUAUUCGGAGGAACACCAGUGGCGAAGGCGGCUCACUGGCUCGAUACUGACGCUGAGGUGCGAAAGCGUGGGGAGCAAACAGGAUUAGAUACCCCAGUAGUCC
rnacentral:rRNA from 1 species